rnacentral:snRNA from 1 species
CAAGGCGAGUGGGCCUUGCC